rnacentral:lncRNA from 1 species
UCGCCCUCUGCAUGGCUCUCAUGGUACUACACUCAUCUGAAUGCGCUGCCACUUCCCACCGCUACUCCCGCUCUCCACCUAACACAGAGCCUCCUCUAUCUGCUCCCCCACCCCUCCACCGCCGCCACCAUGAACGCCACGUCUUGCCACCGCCGGAGUACCAUCACCAGCCAAAGCACGACCAUACCCCUCCGCCACCAACCCACUCACCCAAGCCUCCAUCCUACCACCUCUCACCACCACUGCCGCCGCCGCCGCCGCCUAGCCGUGUUCAUCGCCGCUCGUCGCAACGAUCUCCGCGUUUAUCUCCGCUACCACUGCCAUCUCCACCACCAGCGCCGCCAUCGCAUGCUUAUCCUCCUCCUCCUCCUCCACUGCAGAAACCCCACA